GAUGAAGAACGUAGCGAAAUGCGAUAAGUAAUGUGAAUUGCAGAAUUCAGUGAAUCAUCGAAUCUUUGAACGCACCUUGCGCUCCUUGGUAUUCCGAGGAGCAUGCCUGUUUGAGUGUCAUGAAAUUCUCAACCUUUUCAGCUUUCUUUGUUGAUCAGGCUUGGAUGUGGGAGUAUGCGGGCUUCUCAGAAGUCGGCUCUCCUGAAAUGCAUUAGCGGGACCUUUGUUGCCUGGCUUUGGUGUGAUAAUUAUCUACGCCAUUGUAGUCAAGCAGCUUAAAAUGAGGUUUCAGCUUCUAACCGUCUCACCUGAGACAACUUUUUGACAAUUUGACCUCAAAUCAGGUAGGACUACCCGCUGAACUUAAGCAUAUCAAUAAGCGGAGGA
rnacentral:misc_RNA from 1 species